ensembl:miRNA
UCUUAGGCGAGUGUCCCGCGGGGCCCGUAGCGUUUACUUGGAAACAAUGAGCGUGUUCAAAGCAGGCCCGAGCCGCCUGGAUACCGCAGCUAGGA